rnacentral:rRNA from 1 species
UACGAAGGGUGCAAGCGUUACUCGGAAUUACUGGGCGUAAAGCGUGCGUAGGUGGUUUGUUAAGUCUGCUGUGAAAGCCCUGGGCUCAACCUGGGAAUUGCAUUGGAUACUGGCAGGCUAGAGUGCGGUAGAGGGUAGUGGAAUUCCCGGUGUAGCAGUGAAAUGCGUAGAGAUCGGGAGGAACAUCCGUGGCGAAGGCGACUACCUGGACCAGCACUGACACUGAGGCACGAAAGCGUGGGGAGCAAACAGG